rnacentral:rRNA from 1 species
UAAUUAGAAUUUUGUUUAUUAUUUUAUUUAAUGUGAUUUAAUUGAAAUAACUUAAUUUUUAGUAAAUUUUAUUGAAAUAAUUAUUUUAACGAUAGUUCAAAGUACUGUGAAGGAAAAUAUUCUAAUUAAGUUAAAGUAAACUUUGUUUGUUGUACCUUUUGUAUCAGGGUUUAUUAAAUAUUUAUUAAUUAUUAUUAAUGUUCCCGAAGUUAGAAGAGAUAUAAUGUUAUGGAAGUUUAUGUGUCAUAAUAAUUUUUAAUAAUAUUAUAGGAGUUAUAUGCCAUUCAAUUCUAAAUAUCUGGUUAUUUAAUAAAUAAAUUUAAUUUAGAUUAAUUUUGUUAUUUUAUAAAUUUAUUUUAUUUAAUAAAGUUAAUUAAUAGUAAAAGGGAUAAGCUUUUUACUAGUUCUAUAAUUUUGGUUUUAUAAGAAUUUUAGUAGGCUUGACAACAGCCAUCUUAAAUUUCGUUAUAGUUUGUAUUUUUAUUGUUUUUAUUUAUUGAAGAUUUAGAUUUUUAUUAAAUUUUAAAUUUUAAUUUUUUGUAUUUAGUAAUAAUGAUAGAAUUAGUAGUUUUGAAUAUUUAAAUAUAGUAAUUCGGCAAUUUUAAUUCUCGCCUGUUUAACAAAAACAUGUCCUAUAGAUAUUUAAUUUUAGGUCUGACCUGCCCAAUGAUUAAUUUUGAAUGGCUGCAGUAUUAUAACUGUACAAAGGUAGCAUAAUCAUUUGUCUUUUAAUUGAAGGCUUGUAUGAAUGGUUGGACGAGGAAUUGACUUUCUUUAUUUAAUUUUUAUUAAUUUAAUUUUUUAGUUAAAAAGCUUAAAUUUUUUUGCAAGACGAGAAGACCCUAUAGAAUUUUAUUUAAUUAUUAAUGUUUUGAUUUUAGGUUCAUGAAUAUUUUAAUUUUAAUAAUUGAAUUUUGUUGGGGUGACAGUGAAAUUUAAAUAACUUUCAUUAAUAUAAAUUCAUUAAUUUAUGUAUAUUUUGAUCCUUUACUAUGGAUUGUAAGAUUAAAUUACCUUAGGGAUAACAGCGUAAUUCUUUCGGAGAGUUCUUAUCGAUGAAUGGAGUUUGCGACCUCGAUGUUGGAUUAAAGUAAGUUUUGGGUGUAGAAGCUCAAUUUCUAAGUCUGUUCGACUUUUAAAUCUUUACAUGAUCUGAGUUCAGACCGGCGUGAGCCAGGUUGGUUUCUAUCUGCAAAGUUAUUUUACAUUUUAGUACGAAAGGACCAAGUGUAAGUAAUAGUUAUUUUUGUUUGAAUUGUAUUAA